GUGGGGAAUAUUGGACAAUGGGCGAAAGCCUGAUCCAGCCAUGCCGCGUGUGUGAAGAAGGUCUUCGGAUUGUAAAGCACUUUAAGUUGGGAGGAAGGGCAGUAAGUUAAUACCUUGCUGUUUUGACGUUACCGACAGAAUAAGCACCGGCUAACUUCGUGCCAGCAGCCGCGGUAAUACGAAGGGUGCAAGCGUUAAUCGGAAUUACUGGCCGUAAAGCGCGCGUAGGUGGUUUUGUAAGUUGGAGGUGAAAUCCCCGGGCUCAACCUGGGAACUGCCUUCAAAACUGCAUGACUAGAGUACAGUAGAGGGUAGUGGAAUUUCCUGUGUAGCGGUGAAAUGCGUAGAUAUAGGAAGGAAAACCAGUGGCGAAGGCGACUACCUGGACUGAUACUGACACUGAGGUGCGAAAGCGUGGGGAGCAAACAGGAUUAGAUACCCCAGUAGUCC
rnacentral:rRNA from 1 species